rnacentral:rRNA from 1 species
UCGAGAAUCUUCGGCAAUGGGCGCAAGCCUGACCGAGCGACGCCGCGUGGAGGAUGAAGGCCUUCGGGUUGUAAACUCCUGUCGAGGGGGAAAAAGGACCGCAAGGUCUUGAUUGAUCCCUGGAGGAAGCACGGGCUAAGUUCGUGCCAGCAGCCGCGGUAAGACGAACCGUGCGAACGUUAUUCGGAAUCAUUGGGCUUAAAGCGCGUGUAGGCGGAUUCGUGCGUCUGUCGCUGAAAUCCCCCGGCUCAACCGGGGAACGGGCGCGGAUACGACGAGUCUGGAGGGGCAUAGGGGGACCUGGAACUUCCGGUGGAGCGGUGAAAUGCGUUGAGAUCGGAAGGAACGCCCGUGGCGAAAGCGAGGUCCUGGAUGCCUACUGACGCUGAGACGCGAAAGCCAGGGGAGCGAACG